UGCUCAGGUGCGGAUCGAACCCAGAUCGUCGAAAUAGUAGUCCGCGCUCUUGUCCACCCGGCCACCCGAGC
rnacentral:tRNA from 11 species